CCUACGGGAGGCUGCAGUGAGGAAUAUUGGUCAAUGGGCGCGAGCCUGAACCAGCCAAGUCGCGUGAGGGAGGACGGCCCUACGGGUUGUAAACCUCUUUUGCCGGGGAGCAACGGGCGUCACGUGUGGCGCAACUGAGAGUACCCGGAGAAAAAGCAUCGGCUAACUCAGUGCCAGCAGCCGCGGUAAAACGGAGGAUGCGAGCGUUAUCCGGAUUUUUUGGGUUAAAAGGGUGCGUAGGCGGAUCGUUAAGUCAGUGGUCAAAGUGCGGGGCUCAACCCCUCCCCGCCAUUGAAACUGGCGCUCUUGAGUGGAAGAGAAGUAUGCGGAAUGCGUGGUGUAGCGGUGAAAUGCAUAGAUAUCACGCAGAACCCCGAUUGCGAAGGCAGCAUGCCGGCUUCCGACUGACGCUGAGGCACGAAAGCGUGGGGAUCGAACAGGAUUAGAUACCCUGGUAGUC
rnacentral:rRNA from 1 species